GGUCUAGUGGUGGAACUGGCAGACACGCUCGCCUUGCAAGCGGGUGUCUUCGGACGUACGGGUUCAAGUCCCGUCUAGCUGA
rnacentral:tRNA from 1 species